UAAGUUCGGGAUAGCUCGGCGAAAGUCGAAUUAAUACCGGAUGUGGUACUAGGCUAGCAUUUUCCUAUUAUUAAAGCUCGGUCAUAGAGCGCUUUUAGAUGGUCUCGCGGUCUAUCAGCUUGUUGGUGAGGUAACGGCUCACCAAGGCUACGACGGAUAACUGAUCUGAGAGGAUGAUCAGUCACACUGGAACUGAGACACGGUCCAGACACCUACGGGUGGCAGCAGUCGAGAAUCAUUCACAAUGGGCGCAAGCCUGAUGGUGCGACGCCGCGUGGGGGAUGAAGGGCUUCGGUCUGUAAACCCCUGUCAUCUGUGAGUAAGGUCUCGUAUAAAAGCUACGAGAAUUGAUAUUAACAGAAGAGGAAGGGACGGCUAACUCUGUGCCAGCAGCCGCGGUAAUACAGAGGUCCCAAGCGUUGUUCGGAUUUACUGGGCGUAAAGAGUGCGUAGGCGGUCAAAAAAGUUUGGUGUGAAAUCUUCGGGCUCAACCCGGAAACUGCACUGAAAACUAUUUAACUAGAGGAUCGGAGAGGAGAUUGGAAUUCUCAGUGUAGCAGUGAAAUGCGUAGAUAUUGAGAGGAACACCAGUUGCGAAAGCGGAUCUCUGGACGAUUCCUGACGCUGAGGCACGAAAGCUGGGGGAGCGAAGAGGAUUAGAUACCCUCGUAGUCCCAGCCGUAAACGGUGCGCACUUGCUGUGGGCGGAUUCGACCCCGUCCGUGGCGAAGCUAACGCGUUAAGUGCGCCGCCUGGGGAGUACGGUCGCAAGAUUAAAACUCAAAGAAAUUGACGGGGGCCUGCACAAGCGGUGGAGUAUGUGGCUUAAUUCGAUGCAACGCGAAGAACCUUACCUGGCCUUGACAUGUAGUGGCCCGGGUGCGAAAUCACCCUUUUCUUCGGAACUGCUACACAGGUGCUGCAUGGCUGUCGUCAGCUCGUGUCGUGAGAUGUUGGGUUAAGUCCCGCAACGAGCGCAACCCCCGUGUUCUGUUGCCACCCAGAUGUAAAUCUGGAGCACUCUGGACAGACU
rnacentral:rRNA from 1 species